AUUCACAAGUUGAGAAAACAAAGAUAAACUAAUCCACCUUGCCUGGCUGUUACUUACAAGUUUGAAACAUGAGAGACUUGUUUAGAAAGAUUUGGAGAACGUGGAUUCAUUUCCAGUCCCUCUUAGUCCCAAGAGCAAACAAACACACAAAGAAAGAACCCAAAUAAAGCCUCCCCCCACAAGAUUUGAAAGUAUCUUUUGUCUCCAUUGGUUCCUUUGGUCAGGUGCCAACCAGGUUACUUGAGCUUCUUAACCCCUUACACCGAGGACUGAGUCAGGAGGCUCCUUCCAGUCCAAUGUCUUCGGCUGAAACUUUUCCAGCCUCAGCGUUCUGACGCAUGGACCCAAACUCUGUCUCAGCUGCACUGGGAUUCCAUCUCCUGACUGAUCGUGGUGGGGGCUCUGCCUGUCUCCAGCACUCAGGACCCUGAGCUACCUCCAUCAACUGGGAACCCCGACCUGUUCAAGCUCCAUGGAGUGGCUUCCCCCAUUUACUCUGCAGCGGUGCUCCUUGUACUGAAGCUGAAGAUCCCCUGUAGUGCCAAAAAUCCUGUGGGUUUGCUCAUCAGGUGGGUUACGGCCAGUACAAUUGUGACGUGAAAGUGAGGACAGGGACGUGUUAAACCUGCGGCAUAUAAGGGAGGGGAGCAGCUGAAAGCGGUGCUUGAUCCAGCCCAUUGAGUACAGGGACAUAGAAGGGGGUCAGCUUGAGAGGGCUGAUUGACGCGGUCCGGGGGAACCGAGGUCCUGCAGGAUAGCUCCAUUGGGAGGGGACUUGCAGAAGGAAGGAGUGGCGCUC